ensembl:misc_RNA Metazoa_SRP Metazoan signal recognition particle RNA
GCCAGGUGCAGUGGUGUGCACCUGUAGUCCUACCUACUCAGGAGGCUGAGGCAGGAGGAUUGCUUGAGACCAGGACUUUGAGGCUGCAGUGAGCUGUGAUCACGCCACUGCACUCCAGCCUGGGCAACAAAGUGAGACUCUGUU